UACGGGGGGGGCAAGCGUUGUUCGGAAUUACUGGGCGUAAAGGGCUCGUAGGCGGCCAACUAAGUCGGAUGUGAAAUCCCCAGGCUCAACUUGGGAACUGCAUCCGAUACUGGAUGGCUUGAAUUCGGGAGAGGGAUGCAGAAUUCCCAGUGUAGCGGUGAAAUGCGUAGAUAUUGGGAGGAACACCCGUGGCGAAGGCGGGUCUCUGGGCCGAUACUGACGCUGAGGAGCGAAAGCGUGGGGAGCGAACAGG
rnacentral:rRNA from 1 species